rnacentral:rRNA from 1 species
CUUUUACAAUGAAGAGUUUGAUCCUGGCUCAGGAUGAACGCUAGCUACAGGCUUAACACAUGCAAGUCGAGGGGCAGCAUUUUAGUUUGCUUGCAAACUAAAGAUGGCGACCGGCGCACGGGUGAGUAACACGUAUCCAACCUGCCGAUAACUCGGGGAUAGCCUUUCGAAAGAAAGAUUAAUAUCCGAUAGUAUAUUAAAACCGCAUGGUUUUACUAUUAAAGAAUUUCGGUUAUCGAUGGGGAUGCGUUCCAUUAGUUUGUUGGCGGGGUAACGGCCCACCAAGACUACGAUGGAUAGGGGUUCUGAGAGGAAGGUCCCCCACAUUGGAACUGAGACACGGUCCAAACUCCUACGGGAGGCAGCAGUGAGGAAUAUUGGUCAAUGGACGAGAGUCUGAACCAGCCAAGUAGCGUGAAGGAUGACUGCCCUAUGGGUUGUAAACUUCUUUUAUAUGGGAAUAAAGUAUUCCACGUGUGGAAUUUUGUAUGUACCAUAUGAAUAAGGAUCGGCUAACUCCGUGCCAGCAGCCGCGGUAAUACGGAGGAUCCGAGCGUUAUCCGGAUUUAUUGGGUUUAAAGGGAGCGUAGGUGGAUUGUUAAGUCAGUUGUGAAAGUUUGCGGCUCAACCGUAAAAUUGCAGUUGAAACUGGCAGUCUUGAGUACAGUAGAGGUGGGCGGAAUUCGUGGUGUAGCGGUGAAAUGCUUAGAUAUCACGAAGAACUCCGAUUGCGAAGGCAGCUCACUAGACUGCAACUGACACUGAUGCUCGAAAGUGUGGGUAUCAAACAGGAUUAGAUACCCUGGUAGUCCACACAGUAAACGAUGAAUACUCGCUGUUUGCGAUAUACAGUAAGCGGCCAAGCGAAAGCAUUAAGUAUUCCACCUGGGGAGUACGCCGGCAACGGUGAAACUCAAAGGAAUUGACGGGGGCCCGCACAAGCGGAGGAACAUGUGGUUUAAUUCGAUGAUACGCGAGGAACCUUACCCGGGCUUAAAUUGCGUUUGAAUAAUCUGGAAACAGGUUAGCCGCAAGGCAAAUGUGAAGGUGCUGCAUGGUUGUCGUCAGCUCGUGCCGUGAGGUGUCGGCUUAAGUGCCAUAACGAGCGCAACCCUUAUCUUUAGUUACUAACAGGUUAUGCUGAGGACUCUAGAGAGACUGCCGUCGUAAGAUGUGAGGAAGGUGGGGAUGACGUCAAAUCAGCACGGCCCUUACGUCCGGGGCUACACACGUGUUACAAUGGGGGGUACAGAAGGCAGCUACCUGGCGACAGGAUGCUAAUCCCAAAAACCUCUCUCAGUUCGGAUCGAAGUCUGCAACCCGACUUCGUGAAGCUGGAUUCGCUAGUAAUCGCGCAUCAGCCAUGGCGCGGUGAAUACGUUCCCGGGCCUUGUACACACCGCCCGUCAAGCCAUGAAAGCCGGGGGUACCUGAAGUACGUAACCGCAAGGAGCGUCCUAGGGUAAAACUGGUAAUUGGGGCUAAGUCGUAACAAGGUAGCCGUACCGGAAGGUGCGGCUGGAACACCUCCUUUCU